AUUGCAGUCCUGAUAGGGCAGAAGGAUGUAGGCUGCAGUUGAGGGAAUUGUUUGUGCAUUUCUUUCAGAGAGUGUCUGUGAGUUGGAUAUGUGGAGAACAGCUGCGGCAGAGUGGGGAGAGAUUGAGACGGGGGUCUUGCUCCAUCACCCAGGCUGGAAUUCAGUGGCAUAUUCACAGCUCACUGCAGCUUUCACCUUCCUGAUUCAAGUGGUCUUCCCUCCUCGGCCUCCCAAGUAGCUGGGACCACAGGAGGAAAUCUCUUCACUGCUGGCACUGACAAUGGAAGACUGAGGGUGCCCGGGAUCCUUCACCCCCACAUCCAGUGAAUCCACGGAACCCAGGGUAAUUGGGAUGGUAUCUGGACCCACUUCUCUUCACCUCAACCGAAUCCCAGAGGAAAAGGAAGAGAAAUCCACAUAAGUUGCUUGUGUUCUUUUUCUCCCAAACUUUCAUCACUUCCUAAUCAACCUUGUUACAGAACUUCAGUGGUACCCUUACAAAACUCCCAUUAUAUAUCCUGAAUAGCUCCUUACUGUUCUGUGGGACCUAUGGCUUCAAGGAACUUUCCAGGACUUUACUCCUACCCACAUAACCUUUUUCUCUUUUUGCUUGUUUCUUUCAAUAUAAAUUCGCUAAGUACAUCAACCACACCAAUACAACCACUCCUCACUGCUCUCAAGCUAGAACACUCUAUAAAUCUUACACAAUCCCUCUUGCUGCAAGCUAACUCUUCCUUUGCUCUGGAAUGCUGGAUGUAUGUAUCACUGUCUUCCUCAGCUUACACAGCCCUUCCUGCACCUCUUCAUGAGCUUUUACCAGGAAGCAUAGCCCUAAUUUAUAUACUCCAAAAAGGAGCUUCCUUUUUUGAAAGAGCUGACAUUCUGCUUGGUGAUUAUCCUACUUCCAGGGCCAAUCAAGCUAACAAAUUAUUUCAAACCUAUUACAACUCCCUACAAUGCUUCAAGCCCCAAAGCCCUCCCGUUGAAGGGCCUAUAACUAAACACACUCCCCUUUUACAACAAACCUCACUUUGCUUUUCGGCCUCUGAGGGAAAUUUCCCUGUAGGAUCCUUAACAUCUAACCAAUGCAACUGCACUAUCAUUAUUAAACACCCUUCUGACCAUCAAACUAACCGAGUUGACUACCAAGUAUCACCUGAAGCAAAUGAAACAUUUCUGCAUUUGGCUCAUUUUAUGGCCUCUCCCUCAACCAAUGUCUCUGGCCUAACUUGUGCUGUCCCUGGUGCCCAGCUUUUUCCAUGGCUCAAUAUCAAUGGUGCAACAUCUGAUCAUAUUAAAUGUGUAAAAAAUAACUCUUCCUAUAUCUCUACUAUAGUAGGUGUCUCCCUGGCCUCCUCCUUGUCCAUCUGGAGUAAUGAACCACCAGAAAGAAAAACACCCCAUCUUUAAUUCACUUAUUCUCUUUCCAUAUCUCUGCCUGUAUUUAUGAAAAAGUCUUGUUCUUUUUGUGUGGCACCAACACAUAUCUUUUUCUCCCCACUAACUGGACUGGAAACUGUAUCCUAGUUUAUCCAUCUCCCUCCUUUGGACUAGUUCCUCCUAAUCAACCUUUGUCUAUCCCAUCUGUCCAAUAUGUUAGGAAAAGAAAGGCCAUCCAUGUCAUUCCCUUAAUGGCCACCUUGGGUAUAACCUCCAGAAUUGGAUUGGGAACAGGCAGAUUAGCCACCUCCUUAACAUACUUUAAGUCUCUUUCAACAGAACUACAGGGCUCUUUAGAAGAUAUAGCCCAAAGUCUUAUAAGAGUCCAAGACCAACUAGACUCCUUGGCUGAUGUCAUCCUAAACAGACGGGGAGUAGACCUUAUAAUGGCUGAAAAAGGGGGCCUCUGCCUCUCAUUGGGUGAAGAAUGCUGUUUCUAUCUCAAUCAAUCAGGCUUAGUAAAAGACACUGCUGAAAAACAUAAAAGGGGGGCUAAAAAGCUAAAGGAAUAGCAGAACAACCAAAUAAAUUCUUGGUUUGGGAAAAAAAUCAUAGCAUGGGUCAUUCCAUUCCUCGUCCCUCUCCUAAUAAUAUGGCAAGGACUAAUGUUCUUAGCAUGCCUAACUAACCUUUUUCAAAGGUAUUAACUGACAGGAUCAUGGACAUUUCACAGAUAACUACCCCAAAACAUCUACAGACGGCGUUACUCCUACAGUCAAUUCAAGACCAGAAAACUCUCCGUCCCCCUAUCAGCAGGAAGUAGCCAGAAAGUGUACACUGCCCCUGGUCCUUUUUAUAACUAUAGGGUCUGGAUUGACAGAGCAGGAGCAUCACCAUCUUGGACAAGCACCACCAUUUUAAAGUUCCUAAGGAUUAAAAACUGCCUAAAUCAAAAGUGUAUCAACCUAAUAGCUAAGGUCACCAUGACCAUAAACUACAAAUGACAUCUCUGACCAGAAACAUUCCAACCCUAAGAUAAACCCCUCCCCAACCAGAGACAUGCCAGCCCCAAGAUAACCUCCCCUCCGGCUGGAGAGACGUGAGCCCCAAGAUAACCUCCCCUCUGAACAGAGACAUUCCAACCCUGCAAUAAACUCCUUCACACAGAAACAUUCCAAGCCUGUGAUAAGCUCUCUCAUCCUAAAACCCUUAAAUACUCUUAGUUUGUAAGAGAGAGUGCUCCUGACUGAAGUCGGCCACAAGCCCCUCUCAGGUUUAUUCUCUAAAAUAAACCUGUCUUUGACUGUU